CUGGUUCACAAGUCCAGCCUUCAGUUUUGUCUUCCUGACUGUUGCCCAGUGGACUAUAGUUAUGGCCAAUCCUUUUGCUGUGACACAGAUCUCAGGAUGUUUUCAGAUAUUGCAGGCCUACAUAUGCCUACUCUGAAGGGAACACUUCUUUCUCAAAAAACCACCAGUCAUUUCACCAUGAAAAAUCCCCAGAUUCCAAGUAAUAGCAUUCUCAAAUUCAAUUUGGGCACAAUUUGGUAUGAAAGGGUCCUUCACUGGCUAUUGUAUUAUGUUCAAAGAAGUUUUCUUAUAUAAAAUAAUUUGAGUA